rnacentral:rRNA from 1 species
UAGUCGGGCCGGACCCGGCCGGCGACGGGUAGAAGUAAACACUACUACCCAACCUGCCGAUGACUCGGGGAUAGUCCUUACGAAAGAAAGAUUAAUACCCGAUGGCAUAGUUCUUCCGCAUGGUAGAACUAUUAAAGAAUUUCGGUCAUCGAUGGGGAUGCGUUCCAUUAGGUUGUUGGCGGGGUAACGGCCCACCAAGCCUUCGAUGGAUAGGGGUUCUGAGAGGAAGGUCCCCCACAUUGGAACUGAGACACGGUCCAA